rnacentral:rRNA from 1 species
AGAGUUUGAUCCUGGCUCAGGAUGAACGCUGGCGGCGUGCCUAAUACAUGCAAGUCGAGCGAACCACUUCGGUGGUGAGCGGCGAACGGGUGAGUAACACGUAGGUGAUCUGCCCAUCAGACGGGGACAACGAUUGGAAACGAUCGCUAAUACCGGAUAGGACGAAAGUUUAAAGGUGCUUCUGGCACCGCUGAUGGAUGAGCCUGCGGCGCAUUAGCUAGUUGGUAGGGUAAAGGCCUACCAAGGCGACGAUGCGUAGCCGACCUGAGAGGGUGAACGGCCACACUGGGACUGAGACACGGCCCAGACUCCUACGGGAGGCAGCAGUAGGGAAUCUUCGGCAAUGGGCGAAAGCCUGACCGAGCAACGCCGCGUGAAUGAUGAAGGCCUUCGGGUUGUAAAAUUCUGUUAUAAGGGAAGAACGACUUUAGUAGGAAAUGGCUAGAGUGUGACGGUACCUUAUGAGAAAGCCACGGCUAACUACGUGCCAGCAGCCGCGGUAAUACGUAGGUGGCGAGCGUUAUCCGGAAUUAUUGGGCGUAAAGAGCGCGCAGGUGGUUGAUUAAGUCUGAUGUGAAAGCCCACGGCUUAACCGUGGAGGGUCAUUGGAAACUGGUCGACUUGAGUGCAGAAGAGGGAAGUGGAAUUCCAUGUGUAGCGGUGAAAUGCGUAGAGAUAUGGAGGAACACCAGUGGCGAAAGCGGCUUCCUGGUCUGUAACUGACACUGAGGCGCGAAAGCGUGGGGAGCAAACAGGAUUAGAUACCCUGGUAGUCCACGCCGUAAACGAUGAGUGCUAAGUGUUGGGGGUCGAACCUCAGUGCUGAAGUUAACGCAUUAAGCACUCCGCCUGGGGAGUACGGUCGCAAGACUGAAACUCAAAGGAAUUGACGG